AGAGUUUGAUCCUGGCUCAGGAUGAACGCUAGCUACAGGCUUAACACAUGCAAGUCGAGGGGCAGCAUGAACUUAGCUUGCUAAGUUUGAUGGCGACCGGCGCACGGGUGAGUAACGCGUAUCCAACCUGCCCUUUACUCGGGGAUAGCCUUCUGAAAGGAAGUUUAAUACCCGAUGAAUUCGUUUAGUCGCAUGGCUUGAUGAAUAAAGAUUUAUCAGUAAAGGAUGGGGAUGCGUCCCAUUAGCUUGUUGGCGGGGUAACGGCCCACCAAGGCGACGAUGGGUAGGGGUUCUGAGAGGAAGGUCCCCCACAUUGGAACUGAGACACGGUCCAAACUCCUACGGGAGGCAGCAGUGAGGAAUAUUGGUCAAUGGGCGCGAGCCUGAACCAGCCAAGUAGCGUGGAGGACGACGGCCCUACGGGUUGUAAACUCCUUUUAUAAGGGGAUAAAGUUGGCCAUGUAUGGCCAUUUGCAGGUACCUUAUGAAUAAGCAUCGGCUAAUUCCGUGCCAGCAGCCGCGGUAAUACGGAAGAUGCGAGCGUUAUCCGGAUUUAUUGGGUUUAAAGGGAGCGUAGGCGGGCAGUCAAGUCAGCGGUCAAAUGGCGCGGCUCAACCGCGUUCCGCCGUUGAAACUGGCAGCCUUGAGUAUGCACAGGGUACAUGGAAUUCGUGGUGUAGCGGUGAAAUGCUUAGAUAUCACGAGGAACUCCGAUCGCGCAGGCAUUGUACCGGGGCAUUACUGACGCUGAGGCUCGAAGGUGCGGGUAUCAAACAGGAUUAGAUACCCUGGUAGUCCGCACAGUAAACGAUGAAUGCCCGCUGUCGGCGACAUAGUGUCGGCGGCCAAGCGAAAGCGUUAAGCAUUCCACCUGGGGAGUACGCCGGCAACGGUGAAACUCAAAGGAAUUGACGGGGGC
rnacentral:rRNA from 1 species